rnacentral:lncRNA from 1 species
AACAAGUCAUCGCAAAUGCGAUGAUUGCAAAAACUAUGAUAAAGAUAAAGAUGAAUAAUAGACAAAUAUACUAAUCUUAGGAUCCUUUUUAGAUCUCAUGAAGUUUCGAGAUCACUGAUCCUUUUUUUUUCUCUUUUAAGAGAUGUGUUUACAUAAUUUUUAAAGAAAGGGAGAGGGAGAGGGAGAGGGAGAGGGAGAGGCCCCCUCCUCCCCCCCAUAGGAAGUCCUCUCUUCCUAUUUAUAAAGGGUAUUCAUAGAAGAUCCUAACUAUAGAUGGUUGUCCGUCCUCGUCCCGUCUGACCACGACCUUAUGUUUUCACAUGCCGAAUUUCUCUGAUCAAAUUUUAACUCAUACAAUUAGUCCCUCCGCUUAUUGUAGUCCUCUCUUGGUCGAGCUCGGUGAGUGGACUUCAUUAAUUGUAGUUUGAAAAUUUUGGAUGGGGAUGUCGACUAGUAUGGAUCGCAGUUGAGGGUGCCAAUCUUUAGGUCAAAGUGGUAUCCCCGUGAGCUAAACUUUAGCAGAGUUCGAUAAGGUCUAAUCACUCGAGUGAUGAGUCGAUCGAGAAUACAGUAGAGUUAGAGAAGGUUGUUAAGGAUGUGAUGGUUAGAGAAGGCUGUUGGGAACGAACCGAACAUAUUCAAGGAGGCGAAUCUUUGCGGAGCAUGCGUUUGAUGGAGCGCAUUUGAUUCUUGAUGGAAACAGCCUUAGCCUUAGGAUUUGACUUCGACUUGGAUUUCUUAUCAACAGCUAAGGAUUUGAGUUUGGGUCCUCGCCGGUUUCUAUUGUUAGCGGCGUCAAGGAUUUUGCAUUUUCCAUAACCGCCAUGCCCCAUAAUAAUAUCGAAAAAGGGUUUUAUUGAAAUGGAAGCAAUCCUUUUCUAUAGAAGAAGCCUCAGCUGUGGAGCAGACAUUGUGCGACUCCACUGGUGUUUGUUCAAAUAAUAUAUGGGUGCUUAUUUGUGAGUGACAACCCAAAUUUUACGGUACAACAACAAGAAUAAUACUAUAUAGUGUUGUGGGAAAAGGGCUACACUUAGUGAGGAUGGGUUGUCAACAAAGUGACGUACCU